AUUGAACGCUGGCGGCAUGCUUUACACAUGCAAGUCGAACGGUAACAGGGAGCUUGCUCCGCUGACGAGUGGCGAACGGGUGAGUAAUGCGUCGGAACGUGCCGAGUAGUGGGGGACAACGCAGCGAAAGUUGUGCUAAUACCGCAUACGUACUGGGGUAGAAAGUGGGGGACCUUCGGGCCUCACGCUAUUCGAGCGGCCGACGUCUGAUUAGCUAGUAGGUGAGGUAAAGGCUCACCUAGGCGACGAUCAGUAGCGGGUCUGAGAGGAUGAUCCGCCACACUGGGACUGAGACACGGCCCAGACUCCUACGGGAGGCAGCAGUGGGGAAUUUUAGACAAUGGGCGAAAGCCUGAUCCAGCCAUGCCGCGUGUCUGAAGAAGGCCUUCGGGUUGUAAAGGACUUUUGUCCGGGAGCAAAUGCCUGGUGUUAAUAGCACUGGGAGCUGAGAGUACCGGAAGAAUAAGCACCGGCUAACUACGUGCCAGCAGCCGCGGUAACAC
rnacentral:rRNA from 1 species